rnacentral:rRNA from 1 species
UGCAAGUCGAACGGUGAAGCAGAGCUUGCUCUGUGGAUCAGUGGCGAACGGGUGAGUAACACGUGAGCAAUCUGCCCCUGACUCUGGGAUAAGCGCUGGAAACGGCGUCUAAUACCGGAUACGAGCUGCGAAGGCAUCUUCAGCAGUUGGAAAGAAUUUCGGUCAGGGAUGAGCUCGCGGCCUAUCAGCUUGUUGGUGAGGUAAUGGCUCACCAAGGCGUCGACGGGUAGCCGGCCUGAGAGGGUGACCGGCCACACUGGGACUGAGACACGGCCCAGACUCCUACGGGAGGCAGCAGUGGGGAAUAUUGCACAAUGGGCGCAAGCCUGAUGCAGCAACGCCGCGUGAGGGAUGACGGCCUUCGGGUUGUAAACCUCUUUUAGCAAGGAAGAAGCGAAAGUGACGGUACUUGCAGAAAAAGCGCCGGCUAACUACGUGCCAGCAGCCGCGGUAAUACGUAGGGCGCAAGCGUUAUCCGGAAUUAUUGGGCGUAAAGAGCUCGUAGGCGGUUUGUCGCGUCUGCUGUGAAAACUGGAGGCUCAACCUCCAGCCUGCAGUGGGUACGGGCAGACUAGAGUGCGGUAGGGGAGAUUGGAAUUCCUGGUGUAGCGGUGGAAUGCGCAGAUAUCAGGAGGAACACCGAUGGCGAAGGCAGAUCUCUGGGCCGUAACUGACGCUGAGGAGCGAAAGGGUGGGGAGCAAACAGGCUUAGAUACCCUGGUAGUCCACCCCGUAAACGUUGGGAACUAGUUGUGGGGUCCAUUCCACGGAUUCCGUGACGCAGC